rnacentral:lncRNA from 1 species
GUGGAUAGUGAUAGUGUGACUAGUUGCUGACGAUCCCCGAGCCUGUAGCUUCGUAAUGAGAUCUAUAAAACAGAGGAAACAGAGUAAACGGAGUAAGCAUUACAAUGCUUAGUAAGUUUUAAGCAGUGUCAAUAGAUAACAAUCAAAUUAUAACAUAGCUGUUCGUAUUUUUAUUUCACUCUUCCUUCGGGCAUACCAUCCCUUUACCGAAU